GACGAACGCUGGCGGCGUGCUUAACACAUGCAAGUCGAACGGUGAAAGCGGAGCUUGCUCCGCUGGAUCAGUGGCGAACGGGUGAGUAACACGUGGGCAACCUGCCCCUGACUUCGGGAUAACUCCUCGAAAGAGGUGCUAAUACCGGAUACGAAUCCUGCAGGCAUCUGCGGGAUUGGAAAGUUUUUCGGUCAGGGAUGGGCCCGCGGCCUAUCAGCUUGUUGGUGAGGUAGUUGCUCACCAAGGCGACGGCGGGUAGCCGGCCUGAGAGGGCGACGAGCCACACUGGGACUGGGACACGGCCCAGACUCCUACGGGAGGCAGCAGUGGGGAAUAUUGCGCAAUGGGCGAAAGCCUGACGCAGCAACGCCGCGUGAGGGAUGACGGCCUUCGGGUUGUAAACCUCUUUCAGCAGGGAAGAAGCGAAAGUGACGGUACCUGCAGAAGAAGCACCGGCUAACUACGUGCCAGCCGCCGCGGUAA
rnacentral:rRNA from 1 species